rnacentral:tRNA from 1 species
AGAAAUAUAGUUAAAUAAUAAUAUUAAUUUGUCAAAUUAAAGAUAAGUAAAUUCCUCA